rnacentral:rRNA from 1 species
GACGAACGCUGGCGGCGUGCUUAACACAUGCAAGUCGAACGAUGAAGCGGUGCUUGCACCGUGGAUUAGUGGCGAACGGGUGAGUAAUACGUGAGUGACCUACCUUUGACUCUGGGAUAAGCCUGGGAAACUGGGUCUAAUACCGGAUACGACCAAUCUCUGCAUGGGGUGUUGGUGGAAAGCGUUAUGGAGUGGUUUUAGAUGGGCUCACGGCCUAUCAGCUUGUUGGUGAGGUAAUGGCUUACCAAGGCGACGACGGGUAGCCGGCCUGAGAGGGUGACCGGCCACACUGGGACUGAGACACGGCCCAGACUCCUACGGGAGGCAGCAGUGGGGAAUAUUGCACAAUGGGCGCAAGCCUGAUGCAGCGACGCCGCGUGAGGGAUGACGCCUUCGGGUUGUAAACCUCUGUUAGCAUCGAAGAAGCGAAAGUGACGGUAGGUGCAGAGAAAGCGCCGGCUAACUACGUG